rnacentral:tRNA from 1 species
GGUCCCUUCGUCUAUUGGUUAGGACUCAAGAUUCUCAAUCUUGCAAGAUGGGUUCAAUUCCCAUAGGGACUA